GCAACCGAGAUUAGGGUUUGGGAGUCAGUUACACAAGGGGGAGGUAUUAUCACCCCUCACGUCCAUGGUAUUUCAUGGGAACCAUUUGGGUUGUUUUACGUACAUGGGAACUUAUCUGUUAUUGUUUUUUUUUUAAAAAUGUGUGAAAGAGAGGGUUUUUUUUAUUAUAAUGUUCGUCAAGGAUUGUGGCCCUUGUGCCUACGUAUCACUCAUUCGGGGAUAAGGAAUCAGAACUCCAUAGUUCGAGUAGAAAAUAUUUGUGCGUUUAAUUGAUUUUACCUUUGAGAAAAGUGUUUUCGGGGUGGGUUGUAACACCCCGAUUAAAAUAAGAGAAUUAUUUAAUUGAGUUAAUAUUAUUUUAUUAAUUUAAUUAAAUAAAGUUGAAUUAUUGGAUUAUUUUUAUUAUUAUUAUAGAUGUU
rnacentral:lncRNA from 1 species